rnacentral:tRNA from 1 species
GGCGCGGGGUGGAGCAGCCUGGUAGCUCGUCGGGCUCAUAACCCGAAGGUCGUCGGUUCAAAUCCGGCCCCGCAACAC